UUGACCUCGGAUCAGGUAAGGGAUACCCG
rnacentral:rRNA from 2 species